CUGUUUAAUUGAUUGCGGUUUAAUGAUUGUGUGGUAUAUUUGUCCACAAUAGGUUACUGUUUAAUUGAUUGUGGUUUAAUGAUUGUGUGGUGUAUUUGUACACAAUAGGUUACUGUUUCAUUGAUUGUGAUUUAAUGAUUGUGUGGUUUAUUUGUACACAAUAGGUUACUGGUUAAUUGAUUGUGGUUUAAUGAUUGUGUGGUGUAUUUGUACACAAUAGGUUACUGUUUCAUUGAUUGUGGUUUAAUGAUUGUGUGGUGUAUUUGUAUACAAUAGGUUACUGUUUAUUUGAUUGUGGUAUAAUGACUGUGUGGUUUAUUUGUACACAAUAGGUUAUUGUGUAUAGUUGUUUGUGAUUUGUAUAUUAUCACUUUACGGUUACUUGUAAUAUGAAAAUAUUAAUCAAUAAACUUGACCUUAAUAUACAUUGUAGAUGUAGGUUUAACACUCAAUGUCAAUGGAAACAGAUGUAUGUAUGGACAAACUUCAUUUCGAAUACCUCAUCUUCUGAGCUGCUCGCUGUUUUGAAACAGCCAGUCACUGUGAUAGCCAAUAAAAUCAAGUAAUAAUAGCGCACAAACUACCCAUUCCCACCGUUUUAUAUAUAUACACUCACCAUCAGUCCUGUUGUACACUUUUCUGGCAAAUGUAGUACAUGUGUACUGAUGAUGUUUAAUUACUAGACAAUUGUUGUGUCAUUUUUAAAUAUUUGUGUGUAAAUCGGAUAACUGUUUUACAUUUAGAAAUCUUUUUACUGAUUGAUGUAUAUUUGUAUUUUUUUAUCAUUUCGAUACUGUUAUCAAACUUAUUUGGGAUUGUGUAUUAAAUAAUACCACUUCUUGGGUUUAUUACGGCUUUUUGUCAAUAGAUUUUACAUCUGGAAUUACUUUAAAAUAAUUUACAGAUACACAAAAUUGUUUCGAAACACUAGCAUUGCGAGAAAGCAACAAAGCAACAAAAAACCUGUCACCAUGAUAUUGGACAAUUCAUUUCAUUUCCAUAGUAUUUGGCUGUACAGGUCUAUGGAAAUUAAAAUAACUUAUGUAAAAAUAUCAACAAGCUCAUUAACUUUUUAUAUGACAAUUUAUUUUCAAAAUGUGAUUUAAUUGAAUGAUAUAAUUAACCUAGUUUGUUUUGUCAAACUGUCUGGAUUGAACUUUAAAAGCUUAUACGGUCUCUCGUCCAAGCUGUACAACGCCACUAAAUGAACAUUGAAGCUUUUAGUUUCCUGUGUCACUGCUUUACAUGUCAUUGAAAUUUCAAGCAGAUAACGUCCCCAGUUUCGGCUUUACUUUUUUCAUGUUUAGGAAGAAUUACAAAAAAAUAGUAAAUGAGAAUAUAUGCUAUUUUAACAAAUCAUAAAUGUGAUCUGUGUUGAUUAAAUUGAUUAAUUGUAAUUGAAAAUUAAACCUGGGUAUUACCAAAGCAUACACUCUUGUGUAGCUGUCACUAUGCCAGCAGUUGAAUAACCAAAACAUAUAUUUGGUAUUUUGCGAGUUCAUGUCUGCGUCGAGUUCUUCUGGAUAGGGUGUCCAUUGUCACUGUUGGAUGUCCAUAGCUGUGUAAUAUUCUAACAGUUGUUUCCAGGUGGCAUAUAAACAAAUUAAUUGUUGACAUUCUAUAAUAAAUUUUGAUGUCACGUA